rnacentral:rRNA from 1 species
UGGGGAAUCUUGCGCAAUGGGCGAAAGCCUGACGCAGCAACGCCGCGUGGAGGAAGAAGGCCUUCGGGUCGUAAACUCCUGUCAGGGGGAAAGAAGGCACCUGGGUUAAUAGCCCAAGGGCUGACGGUACCCCCAGAGGAAGCCACGGCUAACUACGUGCCAGCAGCCGCGGUAAUACGUAGGUGGCGAGCGUUGUCCGGAAUCAUUGGGCGUAAAGAGCGCGUAGGCGGCUUGUCAGGUCCGACGUGAAAUCUCGGGGCUCAACCCCGAAAGUGCAUCGGAAACCGGCUUGCUAGAGUUUGGGAGAGGAGAGUGGAAUUCCUGGUGUAGCGGUGAAAUGCGCAGAUAUCAGGAGGAACACCGGUAGCGAAGGCGGCUCUCUGGAACAAUACUGACGCUGAGGCGCGAAAGCUAGGGGAGCAAACAGG